ACCUCAUGAUUAGGGCAUUAUAUAAACUUAUCAUUAAAGUUUUGCCGCACUUCAUACAAUAAUUCUCCAUUGAGUUGGUGAAAGUAGGUGAUUUCAUCUCUAAGUU
rfam:Capsicum annuum cultivar Zunla-1 chromosome 2, whole genome shotgun sequence